AUGGGCUGAUUGAAAUUACCCUUUCUGAAC
rnacentral:piRNA from 1 species